rnacentral:rRNA from 1 species
UGGGGAAUAUUGGACAAUGGGCGCAAGCCUGAUCCAGCAACGCCGCGUGAAUGAUGAAGGCCUUCGGGUUGUAAAGUUCUUUUAUGAGGGAAGAAAAUGACGGUACCUCAAGAAUAAGCUCCGGCUAACUUCGUGCCAGCAGCCGCGGUAAUACGAAGGGGGCUAGCGUUGUUCGGAAUUACUGGGCGUAAAGCGUGCGUAGGUUGUUAUCCAAGUCAGGGGUGAAAUCCCGAAGCUUAACUUCGGAAUUGCCUUUGAAACUGGAUAGCUAGAGAAUGUUAGAGGUGAGUGGAAUUCCUAGUGUAGGAGUGAAAUCCGUAGAUAUUAGGAGGAACAUCAAUGGCGAAGGCAGCUCACUGGGUCAUAUCUGACACUGAGGCACGAAAGCGUGGGUAGCAAA